AUACCGGUGGCGAAGGCGGCCCCUUGGACGAGACUGACGCUCAGGUGCGAAAGCGUGGGGAGCAAACAGGAUUAGAUACCUGGUAGUCCACGCUGUAAACGAUGUCGAUUUGGAGGUUGUGCCCGUGAGGCGUGGCUUCCGGAGCUAACGCGUUAAAUCGACCGCUGGGGAGUACGGCCGCAAGGUUAAAACUCAAAUGAAUUGACGGGGGCCCGCACAAGCGGUGGAGCAUGUGGUUUAAUUCGAUGCAACGCGAAGAACCUUACCUACUCUUGACAUCCAGAGAACUUAGCAGAGAUGGAUUGGUGCCUUCGGGAACUCUGAGACAGGUGCUGCAUGGCUGUCGUCAGCUCGUGUUGUGAAAUGUUGGGUUAAGUCCCGCAACGAGCGCAACCCUUAUCCUUUGUUGCCAGCGGUUCGGCCGGGAACUCAAAGGAGACUGCCAGUGAUAAACUGGAGGAAGGUGGGGAUGACGUCAAGUCAUCAUGGCCCUUACGAGUAGGGCUACACACGUGCUACAAUGGCGUAUACAAAGAGAAGCGACCUCGCGAGAGCAAGCGGACCUCAUAAAGUACGUCGUAGUCCGGAUUGGAGUCUGCAACUCGACUCCAUGAAGUCGGAAUCGCUAGUAAUCGUAGAUCAGAAUGCUACGGUGAAUACGUUCCCGGGCCUUGUACACACCGCCCGUCACACCAUGGGAGUGGGUUGCAAAAGAAGUAGGUAGCUUAACCUUCGGGAGGGCGCUUACCACUUUGUGAUUCAUGACUGGGGUGAAGUCGUAACAAGGUAACCA
rnacentral:rRNA from 1 species